UACGAAGGGGGCUAGCGUUGCUCGGAAUCACUGGGCGUAAAGCGCACGUAGGUGGGUCGUUAAGUCGGGUGUGAAAGCCCUGGGCUCAACCCAGGAAGUGCACUCGAAACUGCGAGGCUAGAGUACUGGAGAGGUUGGUGGAAUUCUCGGUGUAGAGGUGAAAUUCGUAGAUAUCGAGAGGAACACCGGUGGCGAAGGCGGCCAACUGGACAGAUACUGACGCUGAGACUCGAAAGCGUGGGGAGCAAACAGG
rnacentral:rRNA from 1 species